GACGAACGCUGGCGGCGUGCUUAACACAUGCAAGUCGAACGGAAAGGCCCUGCUUUCGUGGGGUGCUCGAGUGGCGAACGGGUGAGUAACACGUGAGUAACCUGCUCUUGAUUUUGGGAUAACUUCAGGAAACUGGGGCUAAUACCGGAUAGGAGCUCCUGCUGCAUGGUGGGGGUUGGAUAGUUUCGGCGGUUGGGGAUGGAUUCGCGGCUUAUCAGCUUGUUGGUGGGGUAGUGGCUUACCAAGGCUUUGACGGAUAGCCGGCCUGAGAGGGUGACCGGCGACAAUGGGACUAAGGUACGGCGCAGACUGCUACGGGAGGCAGCAGUGGGGAGUAUUGCACAGUGGGAGGGAGCCUGAGGCGGCGACGCCGGGUGCGGGAUGACGGCCUUCGGGUUAUAAACAGCUUUCGCCUGUGACGAAGCGGGAGUGACGGUAAUGGGUGAAGAAGCACCGGCUAACUACGUG
rnacentral:rRNA from 1 species